GUUUUAUGAAAUAUUAUUUUAAAUUUUUAAAAGUAGAUUUUAUUUGUUGUACCUUUUGUAUCAUGGUUUAUCAAAAUUUUAGUAUUUAUUUUACUUGUCUCGAUUUGGGUUGAUUUAUAAUUAAUUUAUAGUUAAUGUAUCAUAAUUAUUAUUAAAUUAUUUAUAGAAAUGAGAUGUUAAUCGUUUCCCAAGAUAUCUAGUUUCUUAAGAAAAAAUUUAAUUUUUUGAAGUUAAUUGUUUUUAUUUAAAUUUUUAAGUAUAAAUAUUAACUUAUUUAUUCUUUAAGGGAUAAGCUUUGAAGUUAAUAACCUAUAAUUUGUUUUAUAAAAUAUAAUAGUAAGCUUUAAACCAGCUAUCUCUAAGAUUACGUUUUAGUUCAUUAUUUUUUAUUUUGAUUUUAUAAUUAUUUUAGGUUUUUUAUUAAGAUUAUUUAUUUAAUUUUAAAAUUUUUGUAAUAAUGAUAGAAUUAGUAUAUUUAUUUGUAUAUAAUUUUUACCUUGUGAAUUUAUUAUAAGGAACUAGGCAAAAUUGAUUUCCACCUGUUUAUCAAAAACAUGUCCUCUUGAAAAUACUUUGAGGUCUGGCCUGCUCACUGAGCAGAUUUUUAAAGAGCCGCGGUAUUUUGACCGUGCAAAGGUAGCAUAAUCAUUAGUCUCUUAAUUAGUAGCUGGAGUGAAUGGCUUGACGAGAAAUCAACUGUCUCUUAAUAUAUUUUUGAAUUUAACUUUUGAGUCAAAAGGCUUAAAUUUUUCUUUAGGACAAGAAGACCCUAUAGAGCUUAACAUUUUAUUUUUAUAUAGUAUUUUGUUUGUCUUUCUAUACUUAAUGAUGAUGUUUUGUUGGGGUGACAUGAAGAAUAAAUAAACUCUUCAUUAUUAUAUCAUUUAUUUAUGUUUGUUGUUUUGAUCCAUAAUUUAUGAUCAUAAGAUUAAGUUACCUUAGGGAUAACAGCGUAAUUGUUUUUGAGAGCUCAUAUCGACAAAGCAGAUUGCGACCUCGAUGUUGGAUUAAGAAAAAUUUUGGGUGCAGUA